rnacentral:rRNA from 1 species
UAACACAUGCAAGUCAACUUGAACUUCGGUUUGGGUGGCGGACGGGUGAGUAACGCGUAAAGAACUUGCCUCACAGAUAGGGACAACAUUUGGAAACGAAUGCUAAUACCUGAUAUUAUGAUUAUAGGGCAUCGUAGGAUUAUGAAAGCUAUAUGCGCUGUGAGAGAGCUUUGCGUCCCAUUAGCUAGUUGGAGAGGUAACGGCUCACCAAGGCGAUGAUGGGUAGCCGGCCUGAGAGGGUGAUCGGCCACAAGGGGACUGAGACACGGCCCUUACUCCUACGGGAGGCAGCAGUGGGGAAUAUUGGACAAUGGACCAAGAGUCUGAUCCAGCAAUUCUGUGUGCACGAUGAAGUUUUUCGGAAUGUAAAGUGCUUUCAGUUGGGAAGAAAAAAAUGACGGUACCAACAGAAGAAGUGACGGCUAAAUACGUGCCAGCAGCCGCGGUAAUACGUAUGUCACAAGCGUUAUCCGGAUUUAUUGGGCGUAAAGCGCGUCUAGGUGGUUAUGUAAGUCUGAUGUGAAAAUGCAGGGCUCAACUCUGUAUUGCGUUGGAAACUGUGUAACUAGAGUACUGGAGAGGUAAGCGGAACUACAAGUGUAGAGGUGAAUUCGUAGAUAUUUGUAGGAAUGCCGAUGGGGAAGCCAGCUUACUGGACAGAUACUGA